AUUUAUAGCCAUAUCAUGUUGAAAAUAUUGGUUCUUGUCUCAUCAUCAAAGUUAAGUAGCAUUGAACCUGUUAAAUACUUUGACGGGUGGGUGCUUGAUAAACUGAGGUGUAGUAAUUU
rnacentral:rRNA from 1 species